AAUGUAACACUUGUUCAUCAGAACAGGAAGUGAAAAAAUUUCAAUAAGUCUUAUUCCUGUCUAAUUUCAUCCAAGACUAUCACGUAUUCAUCUGAGAACCAUCUUCUGCUCUGAUUCUGAAGGUUGUUUCUGUUUUUACAGUGUUUCCUCUGGUGUUUUUCAGGUUCAUUUGUGAUUAUCAUCACUGUGGUGGCUUUGGUUUUACUCCUGAUAGGACUUCCACUGAUUAUAGUGACUGUAUGGAAGAAAAAGAAGAAUAAAGGUCGGCUGUCGUCCUCCAUCGGAGAGUUUAAUCCAGUGAUUUAUGAACAGAUCAAAGACGCUGGACGUCACUGUAAUCCAGAGGACAGAGACACAGAAACAACUGUAGUUUACAGCUGUGUUUCCUGAGCUUGUGUCAUAUGUGACUCUACAGACCAUCAGUGAGACUCGAGCAUCUCUUCAUCAACUCCACAACACAGACCAGUUCAGUUUAACUAAUGUAAUAUAACAUCAUAUAGCAUAUGAGACUAAAUAUGUACAGUUUGGCAUCAUGGUGCAUGAUAUUGCAAGCACCACUAAUAUAAUUAAUCUAUGAGCAUGUUCAGAACCAAGAGAAAUCAUCUUCAUCCUUCUCAUCAUUUUCAUGAUUUUACUGAAAAU